rnacentral:lncRNA from 1 species
CUUUGCUGGAGUCUUUGGGGUAAAGGAGUAUUUGGGUAUGGCUGCUUCCGAGUCACGCUCCCUUGUAUCUUCUUUUUUGCUACUCCUCACUUUUAGGUACUAACAUCUCAAUCCUUAUUCCUACAGCUGCUAUUCUUUCCCUGCCUUGGUGUCUGCCAACCAAUGCCUACUACCUCUUUUGUUUCCCCAAACACACCAACGCUGCUGCAUCUAUUAGACUUUUACUACAAAGAUACACAGAAAACUGGGGAAAAGGACUGGCUCUUCUGCUGAGAAUAACUAAAGUCUGAUGAAUGAAGUAAAGAAAAGCACCCAUGAUCUAGCAAAGGUGUGAACAGUCCAGGCAUAAAACUGAUAGAAGGGAGAUGCUAGAGAGGUAAGAAAGGGACCAAAACUGGUGUCACGUCAAAAUCAUUUACCAAACCAGACACACUUAACCACUGGUUUUUCACAAGCUAGGAUGACUUCAGGAGGAGAAAAUGAUGCCUAGAGUCUACCCAGGAUGAGGAGUCUACAGAAAGAUUCCCAUUGAUUCCACAAAGGCUUAAACACUAAAUGUAAUAAAAUCCCAUCCACUUUAAAGCAUCUAAAAUAUUGCCUGUCUGAAAUCUUGGUGCUAAGCAGAAAGGGAAAAUAUAUUUCCUGAGAAUUCAUAAUCACAAGUCAGCUGCUAAAAGUUUAUAGCCUGAAUUCUUACUAACUGGGUAAUCUGAAAAUUUUCAAGUGAAGAUUCUUCUUAAAGUGGUCCUGAACUGGUAAUAGCUUCAAGAACCUGAAGCUGAUAAAAAUAAAUACAAGUUCUUUACAUAAGAUACUAUUUUCAUCCGAGACCUCAAAAAAUUUCCAAAGAUAAAGUUCCAAGGGAAAUGAGCAACUUUUAGUCAAAAUUUACUAACCCUGCAAGGAAACCAAUCUCAUGGCAUGAGAAUAAUAAGAAAAGCUAUGUAAUUGUAGACAUAUACAAGUAUAGAAUUAGACAUAAAAUAUACAAUAAAUAUAUUUAAUAAGUUCAAAAUAAAAAGAGGCUUAUAAUUAAAAAUAUAAUAGAAAGUAGAUUUGUAAAGAGCCAAACAGAACCUCAAUAAACUGAAAAUAAAAUUGAAAUUAUAUAUAUAUUUUUUGAGAUGGAGUUUCGCUCUUGUUACCUGGGCUGGAGUGCAAUGGUGCAAUCUCGGCUCACUGCAACCUCUGCCUCCUGGGUUCAGGCAAUUCUCCUGCCUCAGCCUCCCGAGUAGCUGGGAUUGAUUACAGGCACGGACCACCAUGCCCAGCUAAUUUUUUGUAUUUUUAGUAGAGACGGGGUUUCACCAUGUUGACCAGGAUGGUCUCGAUCUCUUGACCUCAUGAUCCACCCGGCCUCGGCCUCUCAAAGUGCUGGGAUUACAGGCGUGAGCCCCCGCGAUAUUUUUAAUGGAUACAUUUAAUAGCAGAACCAACAGAGCCUGCAGGUAUGUCAAGAGACAAAAACUAAAAGAUAAGGAAAAAUAUAUUAUCUAGAAUGCAAACCAGAGAGAAAAGUAUGGAGGAAAAAAAUGCAAACAGAGGGAAAAAUACAGAGGAAAAAAAAGACACUGGCAUAACUGGAAAAUAGAGUAAUUAAUUAGAUUAAUAUCAGAUGAAAAAGACUUCAAAGUAAAAAGCAUUACUAGAUUUAAAAAGGGUCAGAUCAUAAUGUUAAAAAGUUUCAUUUCUCAAGGCAUAGGAUAUUAAAUCUGAAAGUAUCUAAUAGAUCACUUAAAUAAAAAAUUGAUAGAGAAGUAAACCCAGCCUCAUAGAGAAAUACUUCUAUACUUCCCUCAGUAAAUAUAAAGCCAUACAGGCAAAAAAGUAAUAAUUUUGAUGAAAUAAACAUAUAUUAAACUUUGCAACCAGUAUAUGCACUCACUGCCUCAUUUUUCACCCUAUAAGACAUUUAUAAAAUUUGAUCAUAUACUGAACCAUAAAGCAAGUAUCAAUAUAGCUCAAAGGACUAAAAUAAGACAGAAUAUAUUCUCUCACCAAUAGGCAAUUCAUCUAGAAAUCAAUAAUCAAAAGAUAACUAUGAAAAUCCCAUACAUUGGAAUGUUAAGGAACAUAUUUCUAAGUAAACCAAAGAUCAAAGAAGAAAUUACAGUAUAUAUUAGAAACUAUUAGAAAUAAAUUAAUUUUUUUUAAAAAACCUAACAGAAAUUGUGAGAUGCAGCAAAAGCAGUAUUUAGAGGGAAGUGUAUUAUAUAAUACUUAUGUUCGAAAAUAAGAAAAGUUAUAAAUUAGCAAAAUAACAUUUAUCUCAAGAAGUUGACAAUCACAAAGAAAAGAAAAAGGAUAAGGUGGAAAAUAACAUAUCAGAAAACAAGUGAAUUCUAGAAUGGAAUGGAUCAAAGCAACCAAAAAGGUGGUUAUAUAUAAAUCUUAAUACAAUGUGAAAAUCUCUUUUCAGAUUUAUUAAUAAAAAAAGGGGACACAAAUAAAC